CCUUUGGAGAGUUAGAUCAAAUCAAAGUAGUCACUCCUUGUGAUGACAAAAUGAGACUCGUUGAAUAAGGAA
rnacentral:sRNA from 12 species